GACGAACGCUGGCGGCGUGCUUAACACAUGCAAGUCGAACGGAAAGGCCCUGCUUUUGUGGGGUGCUCGAGUGGCGAACGGGUGAGUAACACGUGAGUAACCUGCCCUUGACUUUGGGAUAACUUCAGGAAACUGGGGCUAAUACCGGAUAGGAGCUCCUGCUGCAUGGUGGGGGUUGGAAAGUUUCGGCGGUUGGGGAUGGACUCGCGGCUUAUCAGCUUGUUGGUGGGGUAGUGGCUUACCAAGGCUUUGACGGGUAGCCGGCCUGAGAGGGUGACCGGCCACAUUGGGACUGAGAUACGGCCCAGACUCCUACGGGAGGCAGCAGUGGGGAAUAUUGCACAAUGGGCGGAGGCCUGAUGCAGCAACGCCGCGUGCGGGAUGACGGCCUUCGGGUUGUAAACCGCUUUCGCCUGUGACGAAGCGUGAGUGACGGUGAUGGGUAAAGAAGCACCGGCUAACUACGUGCCAGCAGCCGCGGUGAUACGUAGGGUGCGAGCGUUGUCCGGAUUUAUUGGGCGUAAAGGGCUCGUAGGUGGUUGAUCGCGUCGGAAGUGUAAUCUUGGGGCUUAACCCUGAGCGUGCUUUCGAUACGGGUUGACUUGAGGAAGGUAGGGGAGAAUGGAAUUCCUGGUGGAGCGGUGGAAUGCGCAGAUAUCAGGAGGAACACCAGUGGCGAAGGCGGUUCUCUGGGCCUUUCCUGACGCUGAGGAGCGAAAGCGUGGGGAGCGAACAGGCUUAGAUACCCUGGUAGUCCACGCUGUAAACGGUGGGUACUAGGUGUGGGGUCCAUUCCACGGGUUCCGUGCCGUAGCUAACGCUUUAAGUACCCCGCCUGGGGAGUACGGCCGCAAGGCUAAAACUCAAAGGAAUUGACGGGGCCCCGCACAAGCGGCGGAGCAUGCGGAUUAAUUCGAUGCAACGCGUAGAACCUUACCUGGGUUUGACAUGGAUCGGGAGUGCUCAGAGAUGGGUGUGCCUCUUUUGGGGUCGGUUCACAGGUGGUGCAUGGCUGUCGUCAGCUCGUGUCGUGAGAUGUUGGGUUAAGUCCCGCAACGAGCGCAACCCUUGUUCACUGUUGCCAGCACGUUAUGGUGGGGACUCAGUGGAGACCGCCGGGGUCAACUCGGAGGAAGGUGGGGAUGACGUCAAGUCAUCAUGCCCCUUAUGUCCAGGGCUUCACGCAUGCUACAAUGGCUGGUACAGAGAGUGGCGAGCCUGUGAGGGUGAGCGAAUCUCGGAAAGCCGGUCUCAGUUCGGAUUGGGGUCUGCAACUCGACCUCAUGAAGUCGGAGUCGCUAGUAAUCGCAGAUCAGCAACGCUGCGGUGAAUACGUUCCCGGGGCU
rnacentral:rRNA from 1 species